rnacentral:sRNA from 1 species
ACAGCGUCAAAAGGUCGUAAGCCCACUUGUGCUUGCAUAAUAGUGGGGGAAUAACCUUGGAACACGCCCCAAAAUUGGAGCAUAAUGCGAAUGUUGGUAAGGAUUGUGGGAGUGCAAAGUACGAAACAAUCCGUGU